GGGUUUGCAGGAUUCUUGCUAAUAGGAAAUUUUUUGUCCCAUUAAAGGAGAUGAAGAUUCGUUACAUAAUUUUGUGGAAGAGGGUGCAGAAGCUUAGGAUUAAAUACGCUAACCUCAGCAAAUAUUGCCAGGCUUCAGAGAGAAUGUAUGGAUUCAGAUGAAAGGAUUAAGGGGUUGAGAAAGCUCGUAGAGGCUGAGGAAAGAAACACAGUUUAAAGACAGUGUGCAUCAUUUCGUAUUUGUUUAUGCCUUAAAAAAUUGAAUGUGAUGUCCCUUUUAUAUGCAAGACUUUGAAUUUCUAGUAGGUGGUUAGGCACUAUUGCAAUAAGUAAUUUUUGACUUUGUCAUAUGAAAAGGGACUAAAGUUACAAAAACUGUGCUGCUGAAAAAUUCCCCAUAAUAGCAUUAUAUUAUAUUUUGAAA